AGCUAACGCGUGAAGUAGACCGCCUGGGGAGUACGGUCGCAAGAUUAAAACUCAAAGGAAUUGACGGGGACCCGCACAAGCGGUGGAUGAUGUGGAUUAAUUCGAUGCAACGCGAAAAACCUUACCUACCCUUGACAUGUCAGGAAUCCUCGAGAGAUUGAGGAGUGCCCGAAAGGGAGCCUGAACACAGGUGCUGCAUGGCUGUCGUCAGCUCGUGUCGUGAGAUGUUGGGUUAAGUCCCGCAACGAGCGCAACCCUUGUCAUUAGUUGCUACGAAAGGGCACUCUAAUGAGACUGCCGGUGACAAACCGGAGGAAGGUGGGGAUGACGUCAAGUCCUCAUGGCCCUUACGCGCUGGGCUACACACGUGCUACAAUGGCGGUGACAGUGGGCAGCAAGCACGCGAGUGUGCGCUAAUCUCCAAAAGCCGUCUCAGUUCGGAUUGUUCUCUGCAACUCGAGAGCAUGAAGGCGGAAUCGCUAGUAAUCGCGGAUCAGCAUGCCGCGGUGAAUACGUUCCCAGGCCUUGUACACACCGCCCGUCACACCAUGGGAGUUGGGUUCACCCGAAGGCGUUGCGCUAACUCGGUAACGAGAGGCAGGCGACCACGGUGGGCUUAGCGACUGGGGUGAAGUCGUAACAAGGUAACC
rnacentral:rRNA from 1 species